UUAACAGCCUGACAAAGUGAAGUCCUGUUUUCCACAGAACAGGUACAACAUGAGCAACAGCAUGGCAAGUUUCUUCCACAAUGGUCUAUCCACUUGCUUCAUGGAUGAAAGGGGGAAUUCAAUUCCCAUGUCCAUUUAAACCGUGGCCUCU
rnacentral:sRNA from 1 species